rnacentral:rRNA from 1 species
GAUGAACGCUGGCGGCGUGCCUAAUACAUGCAAGUCGAGCGAACAGACGAGGAGCUUGCUCCUCUGACGUUAGCGGCGGACGGGUGAGUAACACGUGGAUAACCUACCUAUAAGACUGGGAUAACUUCGGGAAACCGGAGCUAAUACCGGAGAAUAUAUUGAACCGCAUGGUUCAAUAGUGAAAGACGGUUUUGCUGUCACUUAUAGAUGGAUCCGCGCCGCAUUAGCUAGUUGGUAAGGUAACGGCUUACCAAGGCAACGAUGCGUAGCCGACCUGAGAGGGUGAUCGGCCACACUGGAACUGAGACACGGUCCAGACUCCUACGGGAGGCAGCAGUAGGGAAUCGUCCGCAAUGGGCGAAAGCCUGACGGAGCAACGCCGCGUGAGUGAUGAAGGUCUUCGGAUCGUAAAACUCUGUUAUUAGGGAAGAACAAAUGUGUAAGUAACUAUGCACGUCUUGACGGUACCUAAUCAGAAAGCCACGGCUAACUACGUG